CCUACGGGUGGCAGCAGUGAGGAAUAUUGGUCAAUGGGCGGGAGCCUGAACCAGCCAAGCCGCGUGAGGGAAGAAGGUACAGCGUAUCGUAAACCUCUUUUGUCAGGGAACAAAGGCGGGGACUAGUCCCCUUAUGGAGUUACCGUAAGAAAUAGCAUCGGCUAACUCCGUGCCAGCAGCCGCGGUAAGACGGAGGAUGCGACCGUUAUCCGGAUUUAUUGGGUUUAAAGGGUGCGUAGGCGGAAUGCCAAGUCAGCGGUAAAAUCGCGGGGCUCAACCUCGCUCCGCCGUUGAAACUGGCGAUCUAGAGUGGGAGAGAAGUAUGCGGAAUGCGUGGUGUAGCGGUGAAAUGCAUAGAUAUAACGCAGAACUCCGAUUGCGAAGGCAGCAUACCGGCGCCAAACUGACGCUGAGGCACGAAAGCGUGGGUAUCGAACAGGAUUAGAUACCCUAGUAGUC
rnacentral:rRNA from 1 species